rnacentral:rRNA from 1 species
UACGUAGGGCGCAAGCGUUGUCCGGAAUUAUUGGGCGUAAAGAGCUCGUAGGCGGUUUGUCGCGUCUGCUGUGAAAACCUAAGGCUCAACCUUGGGCUUGCAGUGGGUACGGGCAGACUAGAGUGCGGUAGGGGUGACUGGAAUUCCUGGUGUAGCGGUGGAAUGCGCAGAUAUCAGGAGGAACACCGAUGGCGAAGGCAGGUCACUUGGGACGGUACU